rnacentral:rRNA from 1 species
AUUGAACGCUGGCGGCAUGCCUAACACAUGCAAGUCGAACGGGGCAGCAAUGCCUAGUGGCGGACGGGUGAGGAAUACGUAGGAAUCUGCCCUUAAGUGGGGGAUAACCAGGGGAAACCCUGACUAAUACCGCAUGAUCUCUUCGGAGCAAAGAGGGGGACCGCAAGGCCUCUCGCUUCUGGAUGAGCCUACGUCUGAUUAGCUAGUUGGUAGGGUAAAGGCCUACCAAGGCGACGAUCAGUAACUGGUCUGAGAGGAUGAUCAGUCACACCGGAACUGAGACACGGUCCGGACUCCUACGGGAGGCAGCAGUGGGGAAUAUUGGACAAUGGGCGCAAUCCUGAUCCAGCAAUGCCGCGUGUGUGAAGAAGGCCUUCGGGUUGUAAAGCACUUUAGCCUGGAAAGAAAAAACUUUGGUUAACACCCAAAGUCUUGACGGUACCAGGAGAAUAAGCACCGGCUAACUCUGUGCCAGCCGCCGCAGUAAAAC